rnacentral:tRNA from 1 species
GCGCCAAUAGCUCAGUUGGUAGAGCAUCUGACUCUUAAUCAGACGGUCGUAGGUUCGAGCCCUACUUGGCGUA